GAUGAACGCUGGCGGCGUGCCUAAUACAUGCAAGUCGAGCGAAUGGAUUAAGAGCUUGCUCUUAUGAAGUUAGCGGCGGACGGGUGAGUAACACGUGGGUAACCUGCCCAUAAGACUGGGAUAACUCCGGGAAACCGGGGCUAAUACCGGAUAACAUUUUGAACCGCAUGGUUCGAAAUUGAAAGGCGGCUUCGGCUGUCACUUAUGGAUGGACCCGCGUCGCAUUAGCUAGGUGGUGAGGGAACGGCUAACCAAGGCAACGAUGCGUAGCCGACCUGAGAGGGUGAUCGGCCACACUGGGACUGAGACACGGCCCAGACUCCUACGGGAGGCAGCAGUAGGGAAUCUUCCGCAAUGGACGAAAGUCUGACGGAGCAACGCCGCGUGAGUGAUGAAGGCUUUCGGGUCGUAAAACUCUGUUGUUAGGGAAGAACAAGUGCUAGUUGAAUAAGCUGGCACCUUGACGGUACCUAACCAGAAAGCCACGGCUAACUACGUGCCAGCAGCCGCCGUAA
rnacentral:rRNA from 1 species